AGCGAACGCUGGCGGCAGGCCUAACACAUGCAAGUCGAACGGACCCUUCGGGGUUAGUGGCGGACGGGUGAGUAACACGUGGGAACGUGCCCUUUGGUUCGGAACAACUCAGGGAAACUUGAGCUAAUACCGAAUGUGCCCUUCGGGGAAAGAUUUAUCGCCAUUGGAGCGGCCCGCGUCUGAUUAGCUAGUUGGUGGGGUAAUGGCCUACCAAGGCUACGAUCAGUAGCUGGUCUGUGAGGAUGAUCAGCCACAUUGGGACUGAGACACGGCCCAAACUCCUACGGGAGGCAGCAGUGGGGAAUCUUGCGCAAUGGGCGAAAGCCUGACGCAGCCAUGCCGCGUGAAUGAUGAAGGUCUUAGGAUUGUAAAAUUCUUUCACCGGGGACGAUAAUGACGGUACCCGGAGAAGAAGCCCCGGCUAACUUCGUGCCAGCCGCCGCAGUAAUAC
rnacentral:rRNA from 1 species